rnacentral:lncRNA from 1 species
CAUCAUCGGACAUGGCGAUUGAGGUUGCAUAAGAUGGAGCCAUCCUCCAAAGAAAGCAAACCUGAUGCAGUCUACCAAAUUUAGCUUAUAUUUGAUCAGAUCAAGAAGCUCACCUUCGAGUGCUGACCAGUCCGCCAUGAAUGGGCGCAUUAUUUGAACGGCAAAGAAAGAGUUAAGAGAGAAGCCAGGCGGGAGAGCCACAAAGAAGCCAAAUCAAGCCCGGCCUAGAUCUUCAUCAGGCCUCAAAAUUUGGGUCAUACUCAGCCUGAUGGCCAGAAACUGGUGCCCAUGCCUACCCUUCCGGCAUAAGUAGAAUUGCAAGUGUCUAGGAUCUGAUCUGAGUCAAGUUUGAUCCCUAUAGAAAUCCAAAUUAAGUCUCCUUGUGUGUAAAAGUUCAGUUCGAUAUAUGCUUUUGAUACUAGAUCUUGAUUCAACCUAAUCAUCUUCACUGAGGUGAAUAGGUUUUGUUUGAGUCCUCAAUCCAAAUUUGUUAGAUUGAACCCAAUCCAACUGCAUGUUGGGUCUAAUUGGAGUUGAGUUCAUGUCAGAUCCAAGUCUAGUUGACCCACUUGCACUGUCGUGAGAAGCUUGAUUGUAUCAUGACCCAGACCCUAGUAAAACUUCGUGCAAGACUAUAUGUGAUUUGAGUAGGC